ACAGCCAUACCACUCUGAACAUGACGGAUCCCGUUUGAUCUAGGGAGCUAAGCAGGGCCAGGCCUGGUUAGUACUUGGAUGGGAGAAACACCCCCAAUAAAAAAAUAAAUCUACUCAAGAGAGCGGUGUGUU
ensembl:rRNA 5S_rRNA 5S ribosomal RNA